CGGCACCCUGAAGACUGGAGACAGGAUACUGGAGGUAGGAGGCAUGGAUCUGAGAGAUGCCAGUCAUGAGCAGGCAGUGGAGGCCAUCCGUAGUGCUGGAGACCCUGUUGUCUUCCUGGUACAGACUGGACAACACAAAUCACAGUUGUCUCCUGUGCUCUCCAACCAUGAGAGGCAGGCCUCAGCA